rnacentral:rRNA from 1 species
GGGGGGGGGGGGGGGGGGGGGGGGGGGGGGCGGGGCGGGCGGGGAGGGCCGGCGGGGGGGGGGUGCGCGGGUGGCGAACGGGGGAGUAACGCGUGAGGGACCUGCGCGUGACGUUGGGGUAACUUCAGGAGACUGGGGCUCAUACCGGAUAGGAGCUCCUGCUGCAUGGUGGUGGUUGGCACGGUUCGGCUGUUGGGGAUGGACUCGCGGCUUAUCAGCUUGUUGGUGGGGUAGUGGCUUACCAAGGCUGUGACGGGUCGCCGGCCUGAGAGGGUGACCGGCCACAUUGGGACGGAGAUACGGCCCAGACUCCUACGGGAGGCAGCAGUGGGGAAUAUUGCACAAUGGGCGGAAGCCUGAUGCAGAAACGCCGCGUGCGGGAUGACGGCCUUCGGGUUGUAAACCGCUUUCGCCUGUGACGAAGCGUGAGUGACGGUAAUGGGUAAAGAAGAACCGGCUAACUACGUG